rnacentral:rRNA from 1 species
CUAAAUACUACCCAGUGACCGAUAGCGUAUAGUACUGUGAAGGAAAGGUGAAAAGCACCCCGGGAGGGGAGUGAAAAAGAACCUGAAACCCUGUGCCUACAAGCACCUAGAGCGCGUCAAAGCGUGAUAGGGUACUUUUUGUAGAACGGUCCGGCGAGCGAUUGUAUGCAGCAAGGUUAAGGACUUAAGGUCUGGAGCCGAAGCGAAAGCGAGUUUGAAAAGGGCGUUAAGUUGCAUAUAAUGGGCCCGAAACCGGGUGACCUACCCAUGGUCAGGUUGAAGUGGAAGUAAAAUUCCAUGGAGGACCGAACCGACCUCCGUUGAAAAGGCGGCGGAUGAACUGUGGGUAGCGGAGAAAUUCCAAUCGAACCCGGAGAUAGCUGGUUCUCCCCGAAAUAGUUUUAGGACUAGCCUCAAGUUAGAUACCUGGAGGUAAAGCACUGAAUAGCCUAGCGGCCGAGAGGUUAGCGAAGCUUAUCAAACUCAGAAUGCCAGAGUAUUGAUGCUUGGGAGUCAGACAGUGUCAGAUAAAUGUCAUUGUCAAAAGGGAAACAGCCCAGAUCUACAGCUAAGGUCCCAAAGUCAGGUUAAGUGGAAAACGAUGUGAAGAUACGCAGACAACCAGGAUGUUGGCUCAGAAGCAGCCACUCAUUCAAAGAGUGCGUAAUAGCUCACUGGUCGAGCGUCUUUGCGCGGAGAAUUUAACGGGGCUAAACCUGACACCGAAGCUUAGGCAAUACAGCAAUGUAUUGGGUAGGGGAGCGUUGUAUACGCGGAGAAACAGUAGCGCAAGCGGCUGUGGAGUGUAUAGAAGUGAGAAUGCCGGAAUGAGUAGCGCGAAUGCAGUGAGAAUCUGCAUGGCCGAAAGCCUCAGGUUUCUGGAGGAAGGUUCGUCCGCUCCAGGUUAGUCGGGAGCUAAGGUGAGGCCGAAAGGCGUAGCCGAUGCACAGACGGUAGAGAUUCCGUCACCACCAAAAGAGUUAAGCACAGGGACACAUUUGAAGUCUCAGAGCCGGGUGUUGGUUCCGGUAGAGAUCGAGGGAAAUUAGUACCGAAGUCUGAGAUGGAAGAUGGCGAGAAAAGCUGUGUGUAUUUCUGAGGUGCCCGUACCGCAAACCGACACAGGUAGGUAGGAAGAAGAUUCUAAGGCCAACGGGAGAAGGGUUGUUAAGGAACUCGGCAAAUUGACCCCGUAACUUCGGGAGAAGGGGUGCUCCAGAGAUGGAGCCGCAGAGAAUCGGCCCAAGCAACUGUUUACCAAAAACACAGGUUUGUGCUAAAUCGAAAGAUGACGUAUACGAGCUGACGCCUGCCCGGUGCUGGAAGGUUAAGAGGAGAUGUGCAAGCAUUGAAUCGAAGCCCCAGUGAACGGCGGCCGUAACUAUAACGGUCCUAAGGUAGCGAAAUUCCUUGUCAGGUAAG